GAUGAACGCUAGCGGGAGGCCUAACACAUGCAAGCCGAGCGGUAUUUGUUCUUCGGAACAGAGAGAGCGGCGCACGGGUGCGGAACACGUGUGCAACCUGCCUUUAUCUGGGGGAUAGCCUUUCGAAAGGAAGAUUAAUACCCCAUAAUAUAUUGAGUGGCAUCACUUGAUAUUGAAAACUCCGGUGGAUAGAGAUGGGCACGCGCAAGAUUAGAUAGUUGGUGAGGUAACGGCUCACCAAGUCAAUGAUCUUUAGGGGGCCUGAGAGGGUGAUCCCCCACACUGGUACUGAGACACGGACCAGACUCCUACGGGAGGCAGCAGUGAGGAAGAUUGGACAAUGGGUUAGCGCCUGAUCCAGCCAUCCCGCGUGAAGGACGACGGCCCUAUGGGUUGUAAACUUCUUUUGGAUAGGGAUAAACCUACUCUCGUGAGAGUAGCUGAAGGUACUAUACGAAUAAGCACCGGCUAACUCCGUG
rnacentral:rRNA from 1 species